rnacentral:rRNA from 1 species
UACGUAGGGUGCGAGCGUUGUCCGGAAUUAUUGGGCGUAAAGAGCUUGUAGGUGGUUUGUCGCGUCUGCUGUGAAAAUCCGAGGCUCAACCUCGGACUUGCAGUGGGUACGGGCAGACUAGAGUGUGGUAGGGGAGACUGGAAUUCCCGGUGUAGCGGUGGAAUGCGCAGAUAUCAGGAGGAACACCGAUGGCGAAGGCAGGUCUCUGGGCCAUUACUGACACUGAGAAGCGAAAGCAUGGGGAGCGAACAGG